rnacentral:rRNA from 1 species
AUUGAACGCUGGCGGCAGGCCUAACACAUGCAAGUCGAACGGAGUGGCGGACGGGUGAGUAAUGUCUGGGAAACUGCCUGGUAGUGGGGGAUAACGUCCGGAAACGGGCGCUAAUACCGCCUACUCUCAGAUGAGCCUAGGUCGGAGUAGCUAGUUGGUGGGGUAAAGGCCUACCAAGGCGACGAUCCGUAACUGGUCUGAGAGGAGGAUCAGGCAAACGGGAACUGAGACACGGUCCAGACUCCUACGGGAGGCAGCAGUGGGGAAUAUUGGACAAUGGGCGAAAGCCUGAUCCAGCCAUGCCGCGGGUGUGAAGAAGGUCUUCGGAUUGUAAAGCACUUUAAGUUGGGAGGCGUUACCAACAGAAUAAGCACCGGCUAACUUCGUGCCAGCAGCCGCGGUAAUAC